rnacentral:rRNA from 1 species
UACGAAGGGGGCUAGCGUUGCUCGGAAUUACUGGGCGUAAAGGGAGCGUAGGCGGACAUUUAAGUCAGGGGUGAAAUCCCAGAGCUCAACUCUGGAACUACCUUUGAUACUGGAUGUCUUGAGUGUGAGAGAGGUAUGUGGAACUCCGAGUGUAGAGGUGAAAUUCGUAGAUAUUCGGAAGAACACCAGUGGCGAAGGCGACAUACUGGCUCAUUACUGACGCUGAGGCUCGAAAGCGUGGGGAGCAAACAGG